UAAACUAAAAAGUCCUCAAUUCAACUCUCUCAAUCCUCUAAUCCUAUCUAAGAAAGCACUAUACUUGAUUUUUCAGGACCAACCAUGGCCAUACAUCAGUUGUUAGCCCCACCUUUUAUUUUUAAUGGUCUCCACAAAAAAAAAAAUAAAUAAAUAAAGAUGUAAAUAGCUUUUGUUCUUUUUUAUUACAGAUUCUGUGCUUUUUGAAAGGGACUUUUCUAGAUCUGUAUGUAUUGUUUUUGAGUUUUUCUGGAUUCUUUGAUAUUAGUUCAGGGAUAUUCUAAAUCUAAUUUUUUAGCAGAAGGAGGUUACUCCUAAGGGUGUUAAGUGUUGGCUGAGGUUCUUCCCUCAUUGGCCACCCCUAUGGCUAUAAGAGACUGAGAGGUCUUGGGCUCUGCCUCCUCCUCCACGAUUCUCACCCUGUUGUCUUUGUUGUUGGGUUGUAUCUAUGGUUACUUUGCAGAUUUCAAGCAGCUGGGUUUCUUAAAGAAUUGCUUAUGGUCUUCGUGUCUUCAUUUUUUGAGAUGUUCUCGAAGCCACUGCUGCUUCUGCUGCCAUAGAUCGCAAGCUCCUUCCUUGUCGAAUCUCCUUUGUACACACCAUUUCCAACCCCUUAGUCAUCUGAAGAUCGUGUUCUUUGUUGAGUUUCUAUGUUAAUUUGCAACAUGCAUGCCUCUAAGCCUACUCAGAGACUUGGACGCUUCCCGACGACUCUUCAUCUUCGGCCAAUAGGAUUUCCGGGUGUCCUUGCGGCGCCCCUUAUUGCUAGCAACCGGGUCUUCUUGCUCAGAUCAAGUAUCCAUUUUCUCUAAGGUUGUUAGGGGUUGGAUCGGGUUCUUUUAUUGGGUUGGUUUAUAAGAGCUUUUUUUAAAAAGAUUCUGGGCAUUUCUACUUUUCUACUUUUGGGCAACUCUUGUAACCCUCUUAAUGGACUUUUAUCUUGUGACAACAAAAAAAAAUUCAACAAGGAAUCUAUUAUUAAUGUCUGAAAUCUAUGAAUAGGUCUAGGAUUAAAUGGAGUUUGGUAAGCUUACUCUCUAUUUUUCUCCUCCUUCCCUUUUAUUUCCGAUCCCUUUUCUCUUUUUUGGGCUUGCUCUCUCUGUCCUAGUACCCGCCCAUUAUAUUCAUGUGAGUAGCCUUUACGUGUGUAUGUACUCUAAUUUUACUCUAUUUGAUUUCCUCCGCCACUAUCUGACUAUGAUUCCUAUUACUGCGAAUUUUGUUUUUAUACGAAAAUAGAUGUUUAGAUGGAUCUAAUUGUCUCGAGCUCACUUGAGUCUCACCUGAUUCCUAUUAUUGUGGGCUCUGGAGCAAUUUCUUUUUAUUUGCACUGCGAUAGAUCUGACCAUUUAGAGGCCGGUAGUCAAGUUAUAAUUAGAAGGGUUGAAUUUGAAAUUUAGUUUUAUUAUUAAUCGGUCGCCAUCAACAGCGAUACUAUAUAUAUAUAUAUAACUUAUAAGUAAUUUUAAAAAUAAUUAUCAAAUUACUAGUUUUUAAUUUCCUUUAAAAUUUUACAAUCAAACUGUCUAUCAAAUUUUUAUGUCACAUGGCAUCUCUACCCGUAUUGAGAGGAACUAUAAGGUCCUCUCAUUUAAUUUAUGAGAAGAAUAUCUCAAGUUUAAAUGCUAUAAUCAAGGUCUUGGAAUUGUCCUUCAAGGUUAGUUGGCCAUGCAAGUUGAUACUGAAAAUUUAUUUAUUAUUUUAUUUGACUGUCACACUAAUUUAUUUUGAAGAAUUUCACUGAGUAAUUAUACCGUACAACAACGGUUAUAUCACGUGCGUAAUCCUACAUUGUAUAAUUAGCUAAUAAGCAUUUGAUAAAUAGAUAUAUAUUUUAAUAGAUAAGUGUAUUCUUAAAACAUGGUAACUAGUUUUUUUUUUUUUUUUUUUUUUUUUUUUAUAAAAGAAUAACUAUGUCUUUAUUUUAUUAGUUGCCAUGUAAGCAUCCUGCAUGAUAUGGUAUACCGGUUGCCAAGCUUGUUUAGAUUUUAGCUUUCUUGUAGAUUGGUGGGGCUAGUGAAGCUGAAGUUAGUGAGAAGGAGAGAGUUACUGAUGCUCUGAAUGCAAGGAAGCAUUGUACCUGGUGGUGUUGCUCUUCUUUAUGCUUCUAAAGAUCUUGACAAGUUGCAAGCUGCAAAUUAAUUUUGAUCAGAAGAUUGGCAUCCACAUCAUUUAGAAUGCAGCCAAGGGUUUUUGCCAAUGGAAAUGCUAAUAAGUAGCAUGAUUUCUUUUAUUUUAAUGUUGGUACUCUCUCUCUCUUUUUUUUCUUUUCCUGGUAUCAGGUGAAUAGUUGAUAUGGUGAAGUCAGGAAUCAUUGAUCCAU